CCUACGGGGGGCAGCAGUGGGGAAUCUUGGACAAUGGGGGGAACCCUGAUGCAGCCAUGCCGCGGGUGUGAAGAAGGCCCUCGGGUGGUAAAGCACUUUCAGUGAGGAAGAACGCCUGGUGGUUAAUACCCAUCAGGAAAGACAUCACUCACAGAAGAAGCACCGGCUAACUCCGUGCCAGCAGCCGCGGUAAUACGGAGGGUGCGAGCGUUAAUCGGAAUUACUGGGCGUAAAGCGCGCGUAGGUGGCUUGAUAAGCCGGUUGUGAAAGCCCCGGGCUCAACCUGGGAACGGCAUCCGGUCCUGUCGAGCUAGAGUGCAGGAGAGGAUGGUAGAACGCCCGGGGUAGCGGGGAAAUGCGUAGAGAUCGGCAGGAAUGCCGGUGGUGAAGGCGGCCUUCUGGACUGUGACUGACACUGAGGUGCGAAAGCGUGGGUAGCAAACAGAAUUAGAUACCCGAGUAGUC
rnacentral:rRNA from 1 species